GACGAACGCUGGCGGCGUGCUUAACACAUGCAAGUCGAACGGUGAAGCGCCUUCCUUUUUGGUGGGUGUGGAUGAGUGGCGAACGGGUGAGUAACACGUGAGUAACCUGCCCCCUUCUUCUGGAUAACCGCAUGAAAGUGUGGCUAAUACGGGAUAUUCUGGGUCUGUCGCAUGAUGGGUCUGGGAAAGAUAUUGUUUCGGUGGGGGAUGGGCUCGCGGCCUAUCAGCUUGUUGGUGGGGUGAUGGCCUACCAAGGCGGUGACGGGUAGCCGGCCUGAGAGGGUGGACGGCCACACUGGGACUGAGACACGGCCGAGACUCCUACGGGGGGCAGCAGUGGGGAAUAGUGCACAGUGGGCGCAAGCCUGAUGCAGCGACGCCGCGGGAGGGAUGGAGGCCUUCGGGUUGUGAACCUCUUUCGCCAGUGAAGCAGGCCUGCCUCGUUUGUGGGUGGGUUGACGGUAGCUGGAUAAGAAGCGCCGGCUAACUACGUG
rnacentral:rRNA from 1 species